rnacentral:rRNA from 1 species
CCAAAAGCGGAGGAAAAGAAACCAACAGGGAUUGCCUUAGUAGCGGCGAGUGAAGCGGCAAAAGCUCAAAUUUGAAAUCUGGCACUUUCAGUGUCCGAGUUGUAAUUUGAAGAAGGUAUCUUUGGGUCUGGCUCUUGUCUAUGUUUCUUGGAACAGAACGUCACAGAGGGUGAGAAUCCCGUGCGAUGAGAUGACCCAGACCUAUGUAAAGUUCCUUCGAAGAGUCGAGUUGUUUGGGAAUGCAGCUCUAAGUGGGUGGUAAAUUCCAUCUAAAGCUAAAUAUUGGCGAGAGACCGAUAGCGAACAAGUACAGUGAUGGAAAGAUGAAAAGAACUUUGAAAAGAGAGUGAAAAAGUACGUGAAAUUGUUGAAAGGGAAGGGCUUGAGAUCAGACUUGGUAUUUUGUAUGUUACUCUUUCGGGGGUGGCCUCUACAGUUUACCGGGCCAGCAUCAGUUUGGGCGGUAGGAGAAUUGCAAAGAAAUGUGGCACUGCUUCGGUAGUGUGUUAUAGUCUUUGUCGAUACUGCCAGCCUAGACUGAGGACUGCGGCUUCGGCCUAGGAUGUUGGCAUAAUGAUCUUAAGUCGCCCGUCUUAA